rnacentral:rRNA from 1 species
UACGUAGGGUGCGAGCGUUAAUCGGGAAUUACUGGGCGUAAAGCGUGCGCAGGCGGUUAUGUAAAGACAGUUGUGAAAUCCCCGGGCUCAACCUGGGAAUUGCAUCUGUGACUGCAUAGCUAGAGUACGGUAGAGGGGGAUGGAAUUCCGCGUGUAGCAGUGAAAUGCGUAGAUAUGCGGAGGAACACCGAUGGCGAAGGCAAUCCCCUGGGACCUGUGACUGACGCUCAUGCACCGAAAGCGUGGGGAGCAAACAGG